GCAGUGCGUCCUCCAAAACAAAGAGGGAAGAGAAGGAGCAUUUGAAGGAGCCUUCCUGAAACGUUGUGUCAUAAUCGGCCUUCAAACGCGUCCUUUAAAGGAUUCAGCUCCUUCAGCUAAUGACUGUCCACCAAACUUCUGUACUUAGAGACGAAGAAAAUGAAGCGUGGUACAAAAGCUUUUGCAACCAACACUGAAGAUGCAUCUUCUGUUGUUUCUCAAAUCUGAGGGUAAUAAAUGUUAUCUGAUAAUACGAGAGGAAAUCGUUCUAAUAGAAAAGUUUUUAAAAAAUUGAUUCAAGAGAGAAGUAGUGAGGAAAGUAGACUCAGACACUAAAGGCUACAAACUACACAAACUUUUUACAUAUCACUCACUUCUUUCUCUCUCAAAACUUGGCGCUGACUUACUUCGAAAUUCAAGAUAUUAACAAGUCGGCGACCUUAAAGGGGCAUUAUGUUGUUUUGGAGAUGAAAUCUAUAAUGUUAAUGAGGUUAUGAGCACAAACUGUCUCCAUCAGUGAACAAACAAGCUGCUCUCAGAGGAAAAUAAGGUCUUCAGAACACUGUUCGGAGCUAGAACAGUGGCAGGGUCCGCCACAUAUGAACAGAGCACAACAACAUGAAGUUGUGUUUUCCUUUAAGGUCAGUUUGCUUGUUUAUUUAGUUUGUUUGGGCAGAAAAGUUGGUCAGUGGAGGGAGAAGGAAAGCCUGACGCUGGAGUAAAUUAGCGAGCUCACCCGGGUGUGUUUAAAUGGCAGCUGGAGGCGAUAAAUAACCGCGACUAUUGCAGAGUCCAGUUGACGCGCGACUAAAUGCUGAUUCACGUUACAGACAGAAAAAAGCCAAACGUCAGCUGGUGUUAGUGGAGGUUUUCUUUUGGCCGAGUGUCCACUUCUACUACAACCCCCCCCAAAAAAAUAAGUGUGAUGGUCUGAAGUUUUUUCAGCGCCUGGCGGUGGUUGAGACCGGUUCAAACCAUCCACUGCUUCGUCUGUCCAGAGCAAACAUCAACAUUGUGCUGCGGACGUCACCGACAAUAGAAACAAGCCUCUGGUAUCAGUUGUCACAUCACUCAUAUUUAAUAUAGGCCACCAUGGCACUGACUGGAUCACAUCCUGUCAGAUGACGCGACUGGACGCACCACACCCACUAUCUGCACCGUCCAUCGCUCUUUAACGUCUUUGUGUGUCUUGUUUAUCUCCAUUUGUCCCGGUUGUUGCUGGACAUUGUUGACUUUUCAUCUUUGGCAGCCUCUGCUUAUUGUUGGAUCAGUUUGACAGCUACACGCUCUGACAAGCGCCACUGUUUUGUCUCAUGCCAAUAAAGCUCUCUCUCUCUCUCUCUCUUUCUCUCUCGUCGGCGGGAGUUUGAAGCCGACAAACAAAGAGGGACGGAGAUCGCCGAGGUUUGGAGAGAUGACCCAGAAGCAACAGGACUUUCUGUCCAAAACUCUUAGUGAGCCGGGAGUCAUCAAAUCAAUGCUCAGUGUUUUUCAGACCUGCGCAGCGAGCCGCUGGAGGAUCUGAAGAAGUUCAAACGCUCCCCUGUGUCCGCCCACGGCGGCUGAGGAAGGUUUACUGCUGGUGUGGAGGUGACGAGCUGCUUCUGAUUAACCUGACUGACGUUAGCUUUUGAGUUACAACAGCUACUAAAAGGUCGCCAGCAACCAAUAAACGUGAAUACGGGUCAUAAAAAGCUUCUUGCAUGGACAUAUGGCUGUUUUUCUGAAGAAGAAGAAAGGGAAGAAUGGACUCGUGCUGAUCUUGAUCCUGAAGUCUGCUGGAUGUUUAAACUGGAAACUGUUUGCUGACACAUGGUGAUCGUGUGUGUCAGGGUUGUAUUUACAGGUUGUUCGAGUGAAAAUGUUCUUUACUAGAGUACAUCGCUGAUUAUUAAUAACCUGCUGCUCUUAAUGUUUGCGUUUCAUAUUUAAACAUUCAGCUGUUUUCCUGCUUUAAAGGCGACUCACAAAGACUUUCAGGGCUUCGUUAUCCCUGAUCCACUGAACAGGGAAAUAAUAAAGAGUCCAAAGGUCUCAGUCUGAGCAGGCUACGCUAAAUAAACCGCCGUCCGUCCUCUGUAGGUCCUUUAUCAACAGUGACUGAGCAAAGGCAAACACAGUUAUUAUUACAUUGAGAUGAAGAAGCUCCGGGUCCUGAGAGGCUCGAGCCUCGUCCGUCGCUCAAACGUCAAGUCGUAUGAUGUAAAAUCUCAGUAAUCAGUCCGAUGGAGGAGGAGGCCUGACGAGGAGUUAAACUAUCAGACUCAAACCUUUUAAUGACUCCAGAAUCGCCAAAACUAAUUUUCAUUAGGCACAUUUGAAAGGCUAAUUAGGUUUUUUCUUUUUUUGUUUUUAUUUUACUCCUACGCUGCAAAUUCGGAUGAAACUGGCCACAAAUCGAAUCUCGUCCUUGCAAAUUACAAUUGUUGGUUUACUGGAGGAUGUUAAAACUCAGACUGCAGUAUCUCAAACACCAGCUGUCCAGUGUUCACAUAUUUAGAAUUUUUAGCGAUGUAGAAAAACUCACCGACUGUCUGUGAUUAAAAUUUCUAAACUUGAAAAUCCAUUCAAGGAUGGAUUCCUCAUUGACUUCUGAAUGUUUUACUGCUUAAUAUUAGCAAUUGUUGUUGAGCAGUAGAGACUUUAUAAGAGAGGAGACAAACCACUGACAGCAGUUUCUAAUUGAAAGGUGAGAGAUCAGAGAUGGACGUAAGCUGGAAAUCCCAGCAGAUGAACCAGGGAACGUAUCAGCUAAUCUUGUUGUUGCACCGACACGAGAACAUGUUGAGUUGAGAUUCACAGCAGUUUAAACCCAUUUGGGCCAUUUUUUUUCAAGUGCUUAAGUUUGACUGAGCCAUAAAACAUGUUUGUCUCAUGAAACCAUUGUGUAUUCGUAGUAGAAAUGUAACCAAGUGGGGGAAAGUCGACAAACUUUCCCAGUGAUCGUUGAAGGUGAAGUCUUCUCUUUCACUGAGAUGGCAGCUUGGUGCCAGAACGACUAUCUGGGGGCUUCGCCAAGAUGGCUACCAAGUGGUAAGUCUUUUGUCUAAAAGGACUUUGUUGUGUAUUCAUCACCGACUACUCACUAACUUUUAGCCAAUUGCAGAUCUGCCGUAUCUGAUCCAACUUUGAGAUGCUGUCGAUCGGCCAAAUGUGUCAUUUGUGUUGAUUGAUGGAUCAUUUUUUGGAGAACUGAAGCAAAGAUGGACCAAAAAUCAUGAAAAACAAAGCGUUUAAAAUGCAGGAACGAUGCCCAGAUGGAUGAUUUGCCUGUUUGUCAACCAAACUUCAGUUUAUUUAUCAAAUAAUGACAAUAAAUUAACAAUCAGCCAUCUAUUAUUUAUUCAGUGUAUGACUAAACACCAAAUGAAAUCACGCUGACUUUGUGUGUGUCUGAAAACAUUUAAACUGGAAUUAGACAAUGUUAACAAAGUAAUGGGUUUAAUGUAUUGGUUCCCUAUCAGCCUCACUGUCCCUGUCCACAUUACAGCAUUACAUUGUCUUUCCCGAUCACCGUCCUCCGGAAACUCUACACUGCAAAAGACAGACGAGGAGGUGAUAGAAACCGAAGUAAAACAAGACUGAACGGACGAGCGUUCACUCGAUGAAGCGCUCCGGUGUUGUGUUGUCAAAGCACGUUCCCCGGCUGGUUCGUGUUUCGUCUCACCACCGUCGUUCUUUCAACUAAGAUCAGCGAGCGACAAAACCUGCGUACGUAUUAAUACACCAGUUUCGUAGCGCUGAGGUCGGGAUUUAGAGGUCAAAUCUGGAUCCUUGUUUCUUUUGCGGGCCAGGCUGCUAACGGUCGCCAUGGUAACACCAUCAGGAAACUUUGAAGUCGUCUGUUUCAUCAUAGUAACAAAGUUUGAAGUUUCAUUGCACACUGAGACAACUGAGGGCUCAUUUAUGCUUAACGUCGAAUACCGAUGGAGCCUUCAGUCCGCAGUCUGCUUUCAUUUCGUCCGUUUCUCUGCACAUUUUCCUCCGGUACCUCCGAUAGUCGGGGGAAAGAAAGGGGGGGAACUUCAUGAGGAGAGGUUUCUUUGUAUUGGUGAGAAAAUGUUACUUUCAGGCACAGAGACGAAGUCUGAAUGGUGACGAAGGACAAGUGGAGGUCUGUGAGCGACUGAUUUGACUCUGAGCGGCGCCCUCUAGUGGAUCUGGUGCCAACGUGAAGGACACGCAGAAGUUUGAAGGUCAUAUAUUGUUUUACACUCACAAGUGACCUCCUGCUAUUAAACAUUAACAUUAUUAAACGAUUACUUGAUUUGUCGUCAUCUACAGCUGUUUUCUUAUUUAUUCAGCUUGAGUCAUUUUUUUUAAUGAAUAAAAAUGUU